rfam:Chroococcidiopsis thermalis PCC 7203, complete genome.
GGGCGAUUAGCUCAACGGUAGAGCGCCUGCCUUACAAGCAGGAUGUUACAAGUUCGAAUCUUGUAUCGCCCA